UGCAGUCGACGGUGAGGCGGAGCUUGCUCCGCUGGAUCAGUGGCGAACGGGUGAGUAACACGUGAGCAAUCUGCCCCUGACUCUGGGAUAAGCGCUGGAAACGGCGUCUAAUACCGGAUACGAGCUGCGAAGGCAUCUUCAGCAGCUGGAAAGAACUUCGGUCAGGGAUGAGCUCGCGGCCUAUCAGCUUGUUGGUGAGGUAAUGGCUCACCAAGGCGUCGACGGGUAGCCGGCCUGAGAGGGUGACCGGCCACACUGGGACUGAGACACGGCCCAGACUCCUACGGGAGGCAGCAGUGGGGAAUAUUGCACAAUGGGCGCAAGCCUGAUGCAGCAACGCCGCGUGAGGGACGACGGCCUUCGGGUUGUAAACCUCUUUUAGCAGGGAAGAAGCGAAAGUGACGGUACCUGCAGAAAAAGCACCGGCUAACUACGUGCCAGCAGCCGCGGUAAUACGUAGGGUGCAAGCGUUAUCCGGAAUUAUUGGGCGUAAAGAGCUCGUAGGCGGUUUGUCGCGUCUGCUGUGAAAUCUGGGGGCUCAACCCCCAGCCUGCAGUGGGUACGGGCAGACUAGAGUGCGGUAGGGGAGAUUGGAAUUCCUGGUGUAGCGGUGGAAUGCGCAGAUAUCAGGAGGAACACCGAUGGCGAAGGCAGAUCUCUGGGCCGUAACUGACGCUGAGGAGCGAAAGGGUGGGGAGCAAACAGGCUUAGAUACCCUGGUAGUCCACCCCGUAAACGUUGGGAACUAGUUGUGGGGUCCAUUCCACGGAUUCCGUGACGCAGCUAACGCAUUAAGUUCCCGCCUGGGGGAGUACGGCCGCAAGGCUAAAACUCAAAGGAAUUGACGGGGGACCCGCACAAGCGCG
rnacentral:rRNA from 1 species